rnacentral:ncRNA from 1 species
ACACACAGUCCCGUGACCGGUCCCGGCGCGGCCUGCGCCGGGGGAAAGAGGGAAUGCCGUGCGCCCCUGACAGGGCCAGUCGGCAGCUGCCCCCGCAACUGUAGGCGGAGAGCCUGGCCAAGACGCCACUGGAGCAAUCCGGGAAGGCAGGCCCAGGCGAAGACCCGCAAGCCAGGAGACCUGCCGGACACCCGCGACCCGC